UGCAGAAAACCUCCACAAGCCACCUGAAGAACACAUGGGGGAAGUUUCCUGGGAGAGCUCUGAAAAACUUAAGGAGUGCUAUAGCCAAGACGAGUCCUUAAGCAUAGAACUGAUGACCAAGGAGGGGCCCUCCACGUUUGCCCCCCGGAAAGCAACCUCCAGAGGGUGCAGGAGAAGCAGCAGCAGCUGCAGCAGCUUCUCUGAUUGACUCCAAAUACUACAGCACCACACCCUUCU